CCGGCAUCCUAAACGCAUAAUGACGAUUUCAUUCAGACGGAAGGAAAAUAUUUUGGUGUUAUAUUUGAUGUUAUGCAGUUAAUUGUUGGUAAACACUCUUGUAUUGUCUCUCAUGCAGAAUCAACAGAUUAAAAUGUCACAAAAGGUACCGUGCAACGUGCAAAACACAAAAUGAAGUCUACGAUUUGAAGCAGAAUCAGCAGAUGAGACAGAAACGAAAGGCACCAUGUAAAUUUUUGACGAUCUGCAGUGCCUUUAUGGCGUCUGAGACACAGGAGUAAUUGUGUCCUCUGUUGGAGAUGGAUUUGCAUGCUUUAACUUAUGCAGCGUGACUCGCCUCGCUCUCGUACACAAACUCUGACACACACACGCGCUUGCAUUGACUGUUAAACGCUGCUGAGUUCUCACCUACUCGCUCUCAACCCCCCUCUGUUCCACUCGCACGCUCUUAACAAUUGAAACAGACCACAUCUAUUUCCUCCUUUUCAAGCAAAUGUGGACAGGUGGUUUCAUAGACCGGCCCGAAUGCCAGAUAACCUGUGCAGAAAGAAGCCAGAAUUACAUUUGUUAGAACAUGUGACCUAAACGGCCCAAUGGUGCUUGGAUGCUUUUUCCCCCCCCCCCAAUUGUGGGGAACGGUUAAACUUGUCUGACUGAGGGAGAAGCUUUCUGUGGGCCGCCACAACCACAAACCAAGUCUGCGACCGGUCACGGCUCUCUAGGCACUAGAAAACAGCGAGAUAAAGAUAGACGAGAGGGACUCGAGAGGGGGAGGGAGAAAACGUGUUGAUGUCAGCGUGUGAAUCAGCCAAAUCGCCGAAAUAAACCACAGUGCCGCGUUUGCGCUCCGGCUCUUUUGCACAAGGGUAAGCAUCAGUCAACCACAGGCUGACCGCCGAUCGCAAUCUGUCUGUGAACCAUGCACAGAAUCCAAGGACAGAACCGCCUCGCUGGACCGGCGCAGGGCGACCAUGGGUUUCAGGGGCCAAGCCGGGAGCCCUUCAAAAUUCGGGAGCAAAUCAAGUUGGAAGAGCUGGAUUCGGACGAAGACGAGGAGAAGCAGCCGCCGCCGCCGCCGUCACUCGCCAUGGCCUCCAACAGCAUCUUCGAAAGCUUCUCGUCCUACCAGUCAUGCUUCUCCAGGGGUGAGUAUCCGAAGCAAUUGUCUGCCUUUUCGUGCAACCCAGCUCUCAUCUCCAGCCAACGCGCAUCAAUGUGGUGUUUGAGCAAAG